UUAGUUUUACAGUAUCCUGCGCAUCAAUUUUUGUGAUUAUUUCCUGAGCUAUUGAAGUUCCUUUAAGGAAGACCUUACAUGCCCGUUUCUAUAAGUGGUUUUCUAAGCAGUUCCAGAAUUUUAGACAUUGCACUGAGGCUAUUGGUUCAUCUGAACUCCAAUUUGUGUGGGUGUGCACACAUGGCUCAGCCUUCUGCAAACUUUUGGCCAAGGGAGAAAGCUCAGAGCUUGGCUGAUAUGCUGGACUCCCCAAAGUCUCCAGGUCUCCAGGGACGGUGCCUGUAACUUACCUGAAGAGGAACUGGUAGACAAGUCAUCUGAAAACAACUGAGGAAUCCUGCCCUGACCUAUCAGCUGUCUGCUGCCUCCCAACUCUUGCAGCCUUGGGAGAGGCACAUUCACUUGGAAAUGUGAUGAACAGGUGUCCAUUUACUUUGGAUUCAGGCCAAAGAGUCAAGCCAAUGUCAUUUGUAAGGCACAAUCAUUUUAAGUUCAGACCCAUGAAGAUCUUUUCUUGUACUUUUGUCUGAAUUAGAGAAACAACUUAAGCUGUCGUGCUUGGGGACAUUACUUUGAGAAAGCUACUUUGGAGGCACAACUCCCUAGGGUAAAGAAGAAAUAGCUUCCCGUCUUCCUAUGCAGGAAACUGCUGAAAUAGCUGACUCUACCCUCAAAGUUUAGAGUUCAUGUUCUCUGUGCACUUGGGUCCAUAUGUUCAAAGUGGCUUGGGAAAUAAUUUAUCAGUAGUUAACAUCCCUUUCCUAUCAGCUGUUUCCAGGAAAAAAAGCUAAUGUUGAGCAAUGGAAGUUGUUUCAACCUACAUCUGAAAGGGUGUUUUUGCUGUGUGUUUCUGAGAAAAGGCAAAUUGUCAAUACCAGUGUCCCAGCGAGCACUGAUCGAUAAGUGUUUCCUAGGAGAACUUCCACGAGAGGUGAAGCCAGGGCAGCUUGGAGCUGGAGUUACCUUUGGAACGUGAACUAUGAGAAUGGGGGUGGUUUUGCUAGAGACCAUCUAUUUGCUAAGAAACAGGAUUGAGAAAUUUGUGCAGGGAGUCCAUGGGGCACACUCCUGUCCCAACCUUAAGUGUCAGGGAGGAGAGCAAGGAAGGAUUCUGGAAAGAGGUAAGUUCUGCAUUGAGUCCUUGAAGGAUGCAUUUCAGUCAAUGCAUUGGUCAGUGCCCUGGACCAAUGUUCCCUAAAGAACAUCAAGAAACAAAUAUAUAGGCUGGGCAUGGUGGCACACAAUCCCAGCACCCAGG
rnacentral:lncRNA from 1 species